rnacentral:rRNA from 1 species
AGUGAACGCUGGCGGUAGGCCUAACACAUGCAAGUCGAACGGCAGCACAGGAGAGCUUGCUCUCUGGGUGGCGAGUGGCGGACGGGUGAGGAAUACAUCGGAAUCUACUCUGUCGUGGGGGAUAACGUAGGGAAACUUACGCUAAUACCGCAUACGACCUACGGGUGAAAGCAGGGGAUCUUCGGACCUUGCGCGAUUGAAUGAGCCGAUGUCGGAUUAGCUAGUUGGCGGGGUAAAGGCCCACCAAGGCGACGAUCCGUAGCUGGUCUGAGAGGAUGAUCAGCCACACUGGAACUGAGACACGGUCCAGACUCCUACGGGAGGCAGCAGUGGGGAAUAUUGGACAAUGGGCGCAAGCCUGAUCCAGCCAUACCGCGUGGGUGAAGAAGGCCUUCGGGUUGUAAAGCCCUUUUGUUGGGAAAGAAAUCCAGCUGGCUAAUACCCGGUUGGGAUGACGGUACCCAAAGAAUAAGCACCGGCUAACUUCGUGCCAGCAGCCGCGGUAAUACGAAGGGUGCAAGCGUUACUCGGAAUUACUGGGCGUAAAGCGUGCGUAGGUGGUCGUUUAAGUCCGUUGUGAAAGCCCUGGGCUCAACCUGGGAACUGCAGUGGAUACUGGGCGACUAGAGUGUGGUAGAGGGUAGCGGAAUUCCUGGUGUAGCAGUGAAAUGCGUAGAGAUCAGGAGGAACAUCCAUGGCG